CAAGGAAAUAAAUAAAUAGUCGCGUUAUUAAGCUCUGCGGAUUUAAAGUGCGCUUGUUUAUGAUAAAGUGAUUUAACGUGUUUAAGAAUAUUACGUAGUACAUUAACAAAAUGAGUAAUAAUUAUGCUAGCCGUACAGAUCUCGAUAUGAGCAUUGAUUUUUGUCGCAUAUGUUUCUCAAGAGACGACACAAUGGUAGAUAUUUUUUUGGAACCGGAAAGUGAUGACGAUAAUAAGAACAUGGGGCCAUUUAUACAAUGGAUGGAAGUAAUUUUCCAAUUUCGGUUUGAAAAGAAGGAAUAUAUGCCAUCGCUGAUUUGUCAGGCUUGUAUAGUAAAAAUUAAGUCAUAUGCCAAUUUUCGACAGCAGAUUAUAAAUAACGAAUUAAAGUUAAAACGACGUGCAAGGAAUAUUGAUUUGCUGCUCAAUUAUGAUAUGACCAAACGCGAUGGCUUGAAUGACAAUCCGGGGACGUUUGUGUUAGGUCCGAACGAACACAUCAUUGAAGUAAAUCCAGAUCAAGAGGACAGUACUGAUGAUGAGUUUUCCAUGGAGUCUGAUAUAGAAACAACUACGGAGCAAACAGGUGAACAAACUUUAACACCAUUCAAUGGCGGUGUACCACAACAUAUUGCUGAGACAAAUACCGAAGCUAACGGUGUAGCCACUGUAAUACAAAACGAGUUGCUAUUACAAAGCUUUUCGCCAAAAAACACAUUUCUUUGCCAAUUUUGCGAUAUGGCAUUUACAGCAACUGAAGACUGUGCACAGCAUGAGCUAACGCAUAAUCCAGAUGCCCCAUUUUCUUGCAACUUUUGUCCGUUUAGUUCACAAAAUCGCCAAAUGCUUAUCACACAUAUUAGGGAAUCGCACGAUUCUGAAAGGCCUUAUAUAUGCGCACAAUGCAGUAAGGGUUUUGGCCGACGCUCAGACCUCAAAAAACAUACCAUUGUGCAUACCGGUGUACGCCCAUUCACUUGUCAUAUAUGUGGCAAAAACUUUUCGCGCAACACGAAUUUAACAAAACAUAUGCGCAUACAUAGCAGCGUACGACCAUAUGUAUGCCAGCGCUGUCCACGUUCCUUCCCAUCAACAGGUGAAUUAGUACGCCACACGCGUACCCAUGCACAAAUUAAACCAUAUAAAUGUAAUCGCUGUACAGCAUCUUUUACACGUAAAGAUAAAUUGGUAUUGCACGAACGCGUACACAACCGUCGCAACGCCAACAAUUUAGUUAACCAUGAUACCAGGUACCAAAAUUCAUUCACUAAUGGUCAACUUAAUCAACCAUUAGUGAUGACAAAUCCUGAUGCAUCAGCACCUUCUCAAUAUUCAACAGUGGAAGCAAAAGCCGAACUAAUCCAUACAAAUGAAAUCGCUGCAAGUGGUAGCAAAAGUUUACAAUCUAUGCCAACUUUGCCAAUUAGUUCCGAACUUUCAUCUCCUACAACAACAGUAAAUCAGAAACCUGUACAAAGAUCAUCUCUGCGUAAUUUAUCGUGCACAAUCUGUGAUAGAAGCUUUACAAGAGAAUUUGAUCUUAAUCGUCAUAUGGCCUUACAUUUGGAUUCUUUAUACAAAUGCACAUACUGCGCAUCUAGUUUUAGCCGUCCUGAAAAACUGGCAUUGCACAUUGUGGAAUGCCAAGCAAAUAAUAAUGCAUGCGAAAAAUGUAAUAUUAAGUUCUCCAGUCGUUGUCUCCUUGAAUCACAUCGGGAACGUCAUGAACGCCAAGAAAGUCAUGAAAAAGCCGCAAAUCCAUCAGCCCUAACCGAUGAGAAUAAUGCAAUUGUAAGUUCAACCGUAGCAGAUUUACCUAGUACAGAAGUAAAUAUGGAUGUUAAAAGAUAUGAAGGUGCACCGUCUUCUGUAACACCUAAUCAAAACGGUUACAUUAAAAAUAAUGAAGUGGGCAAACCCUUUUUCAAUCAAGUUAUCAAUUUGGGAUUUUAUAGCGAAACAAAGCCUGAGGAAGCUGCUGCUGAAUAGCAGGAUCUUGAACACUGUAUAGAUACAGCUGCAAAUGCCUUAACAUUGUAAUGCUAUUUGAGCCAGUGCACUUGAGCACAAUUUGCUUGGGAGAAAUUCUUGUGUAAAAUAGGGAAAAAACUCCCAUUCCCAUGUGAUUCAGAAUAGCGGUGACUAUUUACUAGAAAUCGAGCAGGCAUAUAGUGUGGCGUCAUUGAAUAGACCAACCGUAUUGAAUACGAACCGUAUUGAACAAAAAUAUACAAUAUUUACUUAGUGUGCUCACCGACAUUUACCUUUAUUCAAUAACAAUCUGAAUGGUAUUACAAUGAAAUAGUAUAAGGAAACUAAUUGUGUA